CCUGACAUUAGUUCAUCCCUUUCUACAGUUUCCAUAGCACCAACCAUUGGACCAGGAUCAGACCCUCAGACAAUGACAAUAAGUCCUAUUGCUGUUGGCUGCUUUAGUGUUGUAGCAGCUUUGAUAGUACUCUUGGUAGCUGUAUUGAUAUACACAUAUUGUAGAUGUAGAGCUACAUGCAAGUACUGGCACUAUUCUCAAUAUCAGGAAGAUGCCACUGAGUGAUUCAGAACAAAUAUUUAAUGGUAAAAGGCAAAGAAAUGGUGCAUAUAAUCUUGUGAACAUGGCAAAAGAUGAUGCAGAUCAGUAACACAGGAAAAUAGUGUGGUAGAGCAAGGCAUUGUGUUUCAUUUUUCAUUUUUAUACUACGACUGCAAUCAAUAA